GACGAACGCUGGCGGUGUGCUUAACACAUGCAAGUCGAACGGAAAGGCCCUGCUUUUGUGGGGUGCUCGAGUGGCGAACGGGUGAGUAACACGUGAGUAACCUGCUCUUGACUUUGGGAUAACUUCAGGAAACUGGGGCUAAUACCGGAUAGGAGCUCCUGCUGCAUGGUGGGGGUUGGAAAGUUUCGGCGGUUGGGGAUGGACACGCGGCUUAUCAGCUUGUUGGUGGGGUAGUGGCUUACCAAGGCUUUGACGGGUAGCCGGCCUGAGAGGGUGACCGGCCACAUUGGGUCUGAGGUACGGCCCAGACUCCUUCGGGAGGCAGCAGUCGGGAAUAUUGCACAAUGGGCUGAAGCCUGUUGCAGCAACGCCGCGUGCUGGAUGACGGACUUCGGGUUGUAAACCGCUUUCGCCUGUGACGAAGCGUGAGUGACGGUAAUGGGUAAAAAAGCACCGGCUAACUACGUG
rnacentral:rRNA from 1 species